UACGUAGGUGGCAAGCGUUGUCCGGAUUUACUGGGCGUAAAGGGCGCGUAGGUGGCGAGCCAAGUCCAUGGUGAAAGCUCGAUGCUCAACAUCGAGUCGGCCACGGAUACUGGUGCGCUUGAGCACUGUAGAGGCUAAUGGAAUUCCGGGUGUAGCGGUGGAAUGCGUAGAGAUCCGGAAGAACACCGGUGGCGAAGGCGGUUAGCUGGGCAGUUGCUGACACUGAGGCGCGACAGCGUGGGGAGCAAACAGG
rnacentral:rRNA from 1 species